rnacentral:piRNA from 1 species
GAGGGAUGGUAAACGAACGAA